UGUAUAAUGGGUCAGCGACUUAUAUUCUGUAGCAAGGUUAACCGAAUAGGGGAGCCGAAGGGAAACCGAGUCUUAACUGGGCGUUAAGUUGCAGGGUAUAGACCCGAAACCCGGUGAUCUAGCCAUGGGCAGGUUGAAGGUUGGGUAACACUAACUGGAGGACCGAACCGACUAAUGUUGAAAAAUUAGCGGAUGACUUGUGGCUGGGGGUGAAAGGCCAAUCAAACCGGGAGAUAGCUGGUUCUCCCCGAAAGCUAUUUAGGUAGCGCCUCGUGAAUUCAUCUCCGGGGGUAGAGCACUGUUUCGGCAAGGGGGUCAUCCCGACUUACCAACCCGAUGCAAACUGCGAAUACCGGAGAAUGUUAUCACGGGAGACACACGGCGGGUGCUAACGUCCGUCGUGAAGAGGGAAACAACCCAGACCGCCAGCUAAGGUCCCAAAGUCAUGGUUAAGUGGGAAACGAUGUGGGAAGGCCCAGACAGCCAGGAUGUUGGCUUAGAAGCAGCCAUCAUUUAAAGAAAGCGUAAUAGCUCACUGGUCGAGUCGGCCUGCGCGGAAGAUGUAACGGGGCUAAACCAUGCACCGAAGCUGCGGCAGCGACACUAUGUGUUGUUGGGUAGGGGAGCGUUCUGUAAGCCGUUGAAGGUGGCCUGUGAGGGUUGCUGGAGGUAUCAGAAGUGCGAAUGCUGACAUAAGUAACGAUAAAGCGGGUGAAAAGCCCGCUCGCCGGAAGACCAAGGGUUCCUGUCCAACGUUAAUCGGGGCAGGGUGAGUCGACCCCUAAGGCGAGGCCGAAAGGCGUAGUCGAUGGGAAACAGGUUAAUAUUCCUGUACUUGGUGUUACUGCGAAGGGGGGACGGAGAAGGCUAUGUUGGCCGGGCGACGGUUGUCCCGGUUUAAGCGUGUAGGCUGAUUUUCCAGGCAAAUCCGGAGAAUCAAGGCUGAGGCGUGAUGACGAGGCACUACGGUGCUGAAGCAACAAAUGCCCUGCUUCCAGGAAAAGCCUCUAAGCAUCAGGUAACAUCAAAUCGUACCCCAAACCGACACAGGUGGUCAGGUAGAGAAUACCAAGGCGCUUGAGAGAACUCGGGUGAAGGAACUAGGCAAAAUGGUGCCGUAAC
rnacentral:rRNA from 1 species